rnacentral:rRNA from 1 species
GGUGGCUAUAGUGCCGGGGCUCCACCUCUUCCCAUUCCGAACAGAGAAGUUAAGCCCGGCCGCGCCGAUGGUACUGCGUGACAGUGGGAGAGUAGGUAGCCGCCGU